rnacentral:rRNA from 1 species
AGCUUAUAGAAUAUAUUUUAAGUAACUUCUGCCCAGCGUUUAUAUUAGCGGCCGCAGUACCUUGACUGUGCUAAGGUAGCAUAAUCAAUUGGCUUUUAAUUGAAGUCUGGAAUGAAAGGUUUUAUAAAGAAUUAACUGUCUCUUAAAAAUUUUAUUGAAUUUAUUUAAAAAGUGAAAAUACUUUUUCGAAGAAAAAAGACGAGAAGACCCUUAGAAUUUUUAUUAAUUAAUUUCAUAAAUUAUAUAUUUUUGUUGGGGCGACAUUGAAACAUUUAAACUUUCAAUUAAAAACAAGUCAUUUUUCUAUUAAGAUUAAAUUACCUUAGGGAUAACAGCAUAAUGAAUUAUUUAGUUUGUGACCUCGAUGUUGGACUAGGAGCUAAAAGACUAACCGUCAUAAUAGAAUGUUCUGUUCGAACAAAAUUUCCU